rnacentral:rRNA from 1 species
AUUGAACGCUGACGGCAGGCCUAACACAUGCAAGUCGAGCGGAUGAGAGGAGCUUGCUUCUCGAUUCAGCGGCGGACGGGUGAGUAAUGCCUAGGAAUCUGCCUGGUAGUGGGGGACAACGUUUCGAAAGGAACGCUAAUACCGCAUACGUCCUACGGGAGAAAGCAGGGGACCUUCGGGCCUUGCGCUAUCAGCUGAGCCUAGGUCGGAUUAGCUAGCUGGUGAGGUAAUGGCUCACCAAGGCGACGAUCCGUAACUGGUCUGAGAGGAUGAUCAGUCACACUGGAACUGAGACACGGUCCAGACUCCUACGGGAGGCAGCAGUGGGGAAUAUUGGACAAUGGGCGAAAGCCUGAUCCAGCCAUGCCGCGUGUGUGAAGAAGGUCUUCGGAUUGUAAAGCACUUUAAGUUGGGAGGAAGGGUUGUAGAUUAAUACUCUGCAAUUUUGACGUUACCGACAGAAUAAGCACCGGCUAACUCUGUGCCAGCCGCCGCGGUAAAAC